rnacentral:rRNA from 1 species
GACGAACGCUGGCGGCGUGCUUAACACAUGCAAGUCGAACGAUGAAGAAGAGCUUGCUCUUCGGAUUAGUGGCGAACGGGUGAGUAACACGUGACUAACCUGCCCCUUUCUCUGGGAUAACGCUCCGAAAGGAGUGCUAAUACCGGAUACUCACAUCGAGGCACAUGCCUUGAUGUGGAAAGUUUUUCGGAAAGGGAUGGAGUCGCGGCCUAUCAGCUUGUUGGUGAGGUAACGGCUCACCAAGGCGACGACGGGUAGCCGGCCUGAGAGGGCGAACGGCCACACUGGGACUGAGACACGGCCGAGACUCCUACGGGAGGCAGCAGUGGGGAAUAUUGCACAAUGGGCGAAAGCCUGAUGCAGCGACGCCGCGUGAGGGAUGAAGGUCUUCGGAUUGUAAACCUCUUUCAGUAGGGACGAAGCGAAAGUGACGGUACCUAAAGAAGAAGCACCGGCUAACUACGUGCCAGCAGCCGCCGCCG